AUGCAGCUAAAGCUGGUGAAGAAACUCAAUGUAUAACAGAUGCAGCAUUUGGAACAACUACUGGGUUACUGGUGGCUUUCAUCGUUGUGUUAAGUAUUGUCCUCCUGAUACAGUGUAUGAGAAGAAGAAAGGGAAACUCUUGUUCUGGUGGAAAUUCUGGGAAAAUUGAAGAUCAAAAAGAAAGUGAAAACAAAAGUCAACAAAACCCUUUGUAUGUCAAUGAUGAAUCUUACGAAGUACUUAAAGUUAACAAAGACCGCAUAUAAAUAAAUGACGAGGCAUCUCAUACCGGAAAAAAUGACUCGAACAGAUUUUAUGGUUCAAAAAACAACGUCGUUAAGCAUCCUGAAAGACAAAAGUAUUAUCCUGUGUGUGUAUUUUGCUGUUUAUCAUUACCUUGUUAACGUUAUUUUAUAAUUUCCGUAUUUUAUAAUUCUUCAAAAGAAUGUGUGUAUAUACUUUCUUUCCCUUCGAAUCAAA